CCCUUAGAUGUUCUGGGCCGCACGCGCGCUACACUGACUACUUCAACGAGUUGUUUCCUUGAUCGAAAGGUCUGGGUAAUCUUUGAAAGGUAGUCGUGAUGGGGAUAGAUCCUUGCAAUUUUUGAUCUUCAACGAGGAAUUCCUAGUAAACGCAAGUCAUCAGCUUGCAUUGAUUACGUCCCUGCCCUUUGUACACACCGCCCGUCGCACCUACCGAUUGAAUGGUCCGGUGAAUCUUUAGGACUGUGGCUGAGGCCUUGCCUUGUGCGGGUCUGGCCGUGGGAAUUUAGUUAAACCUUACUAUUUAGAGGAAGGUGAAGUCGUAACA
rnacentral:rRNA from 1 species